UAGAUACCCUGGUAGUCCACGCCCUAAACUAUGUCAACUAGUUGUCGGGCCUUAUUAGGUUUGGUAACGUAGCUAACGCGUGAAGUUGACCGCCUGGGGAGUACGGUCGCAAGAUUAAAACUCAAAGGAAUUGACGGGGACCCGCACAAGCGGUGGAUUAUGUGGAUUAAUUCGAUGCAACGCGAAAAACCUUACCUACCCUUGACAUGUCAGAAAAUUUUCAGAGAUGAAUUUGUGCCCGAAAGGGAAUCUGAACACAGGUGCUGCAUGGCUGUCGUCAGCUCGUGUCGUGAGAUGUUGGGUUAAGUCCCGCAACGAGCGCAACCCUUGUCAUUAAUUGCCAUCAUUUAGUUGGGCACUUUUAAUGAGACUGCCGGUGACAAACCGGAGGAAGGUGGGGG
rnacentral:rRNA from 1 species